GAAUGUUAGCUAUGGAUUUGUUGUUGUCGUUUUUUACCCUUUUGCUGCAUAAUCAGCAGAAAGUAAGUCAACAAUGUGAAUAUAAUUGUUGAAACCACCUCCAAAACCAAAGCACAGUUGAACAGUCAUACAAAUACACACAUUACGUUACGGUCACGGCCGCAUGUCCUGUAUUGACAGGAUUCAAUUAUUGUGGAGAAAGUUAUAUUGGUGAGAAAACAUUACUAUCUAAAAACAUUUCUUGAAAUGAGACAAAUUUCUUCUUGUUCUAAAUCUUUAUUGAAGUUCAAAACAAAAGAAGGUACACAUUGUACAACAGCUGAAAAUCUGCAGAAUUUAACUUGCACAAUAACAUACAAAAUUAAUAACUGCUUGCUUUGUGGUUAUGUCCAGAGCAGGCCACAGUCAUCAAUUUAGGUGAAGUCAGUUGGCGUAUGAAAGAAAAUUAUGUAAUAUCUCAUAAUGAGCAUAGCACAGUUUGGUUUGUUUUGGAGCAACAUGGGGGGAUGGUGAACUCUGGAUGACCUAAAAAAUAAUUUUUAAUAUUUCAGAAACCAAAGCUGCACAAACGAAAAUUUUAACGGCACAAACCUGCACUAACGGAGCACUAA